ACUAUCUCCACCCUCGUGAUCUACUUAUAGCAACUACAGGAAAGGACAAAUAUGAUCAAAACACAUAAAAAGAUAAAUUUCACAAUUCAGAAUACUACAUAAGAUUAGUGUCUUUUAUUCAAUAUAUAUUUUUUAAAGAGGUAUGUCCUUUUAAUACGCCAAUAUAAAACUGAGAAAUCAAUAUAAUACUCCUCCAAAGUUUAGAAAUUAUUGGGGACAAUGAGUUGAUCCUUGCAUCUUGUUAUUUGUGAAGAAGAUAAUAAUAUUGAAGGUUCUCAUGGGAUUCAAUCUUGAAGAUAUCGACAAUCCCAACAACCGUCUCUUCAAUUGCUACUAAAUAUUAGAGAUCAGCUCACCUUCCUCAGUUGACUUAAUUAGGCAUUUUUGAAAUUUCAAAAUUUAUUUGUAUGUGUCAGAGAUUUUCUUUGUGGUGUUUCCUUUGCAACAAAGUGAUGAGUUGAUAUUUGAGAUUCUCUCAAAUCCUUUCCAACAAGGCCAAAUCUCUCAAGAUUUGAUUAUGGAUAAGUAUGCUACUCCUAAUUAUUCUCCUUUUCUUAGGGCCACUAUUCAUCGUCCUUGGAAAAAGAAGAAGCUAUCAAUAAGGGUAUUAGGCAGAAAUAAUAAUUCAUCAGAUGAAAUUACUGAUGAGUUGAAGCAUAAGAAAAUUAUGCAUAGAUAUAUGAAGCAUCAGAGAAAGCAAGGAAUAGCUGCCCUUCACUCUUCUCUGUAAUCUCUCCUCCUCCUUCACUAUGCCAAGGGGAAAAGAUCACUGUCGGAUCACAUGCAUGAAGCUGUGAAGUAUAUCAAACAACUGCAGGCAAAUGUGAAUGAAUUAGCAAAAAAAAAGAGACAAGCUAAAAAUUAUGCUUCCUAACUCAAGUACUACACCUUGUGGAAGGGAAAAUGGUAGCUCAGAUAGUGUGUCCCAAGAUUGUGAUGUGAUAGUGAAUCCAUGCCAAGGUGGUGUAGAGAUUUUAAUUAAACAAAGGGAAAUAAUAAUUAAGACCUCGCCAAAGUGAUACAAGAGCUUUUGAAACAAGGGCUUGAUGUUGUUAGUUGUAUUUCUGCUAAUUUCAAUCAAAACUCUCUCCAUAAAAUUCAAUCCGAGGUACGUGAAUGAAAUGUAUCAAUCUUGAUGCACUGCAACGAAAGUUGAUUGAUAUGAUCAACAUUGGCUUGGAGUAGUUGUUAAGGGAAAAUUUUACUAUUGUUCAGGUCCAAUCGACACAAUUUAUGAGAGGAUUCAUUUCAUUAAUUGACACUUGAAAAAUGAGGCCCAUCUUAAAUUUUUAAAGCUAAUCAAAGAGAGAGAGUGAUAUGUGUCCGAAACACAAAUAUUAAAUCAAAUAACAUAAAAUUGGAUUGUUAUCUCUUGAAAGGAAAUUUAUGAAGAAAACAAUGAAGCCAAGAACUCUAAAAAUUCAGGCCUCCUUCUUCCUUUUCCUUUUACUCAAAAGAGUCAUUAAAAUUAAAAUUGUAGAUCAAGUGAUAAACUUUUGUAAAACAUUUGAUAUUCCGUUGUUGUGUUGUUGAUUCAAAGGAAUAAGAGCUGACAUUUGAAGGUGAAGAGAAUUAAAAAAUAUGGAAGAAAGUCUUCUUCAAUCUAAUGCUAAAAAGGAUCAAAAAUUGAGUGAAUAUCUUCAUGAAUCUUCUUUUGCUUAUUUAAUUAUCUAUGAUUUCAGGUAUGAAUUUCUUUCAUCCUUUUAUAAGAUUUUUAUGCUAUCCACAAAAUUAAAUUAAAAAAUUAUAAAUACCUGAUAAUUUAAAUUUUCACAGGUUUUCGUUGCAUGUUAGUUAUAAGGCAGAAUGGUCUGAUGGAUUCUUUUACUUGUCCUGAUUUAUAAAGUAGUCACAUCUACUUUUACUUUUAUCUUUUAAACCCUUGAACCCAUAAAAAUAUAAUAUUCUAAACCCUUUUGAUGUAUAUGUGGAAUUAAAUUGAUGAGAUGAAAAAUGCAUGUUUGCACACGUUUUUAAGCGAGUGAACUCAUUUAUUUUCCAGUUAACUUGUGUGGUAAAAUAGAUCCAUUGUAUUUAUAAUAGAUCUAUUUUACCACACAAGUUAUCCGCACUCCCCUACAAUUGGUAUCAGAUCCUAUACUAUUUAA